rnacentral:RNase_P_RNA from 1 species
GAAGCUGACCAGACAGUCGCCGCUUCGUCGUCGUCCUCUUCGGGGGAGACGGGCGGAGGGGAGGAAAGUCCGGGCUCCAUAGGGCAGGGUGCCAGGUAACGCCUGGGGGGGAAACCCACGACCAGUGCAACAGAGAGCAAACCGCCGAUGGCCCGCGCAAGCGGGAUCAGGUAAGGGUGAAAGGGUGCGGUAAGAGCGCACCGCGCGGCUGGUAACAGUCCGUGGCAC